UACGUAGGGUGCAAGCGUUAAUCGGAAUUACUGGGCGUAAAGCGUGCGCAGGCGGUUAUGUAAGACAGAUGUGAAAUCCCCGGGCUCAACCUGGGAACUGCAUUUGUGACUGCAUAGCUAGAGUACGGUAGAGGGGGGAUGGAAUUCCGCGUGUAGCAGUGAAAUGCGUAGAUAUGCGGAGGAACACCGAUGGCGAAGGCAAUCCCCCUGGACCUGUACUGACGCUCAUGCACGAAAGCGUGGGGGAGCAAACAGG
rnacentral:rRNA from 1 species